AAAGACUGACGCUCAUGCACGAAAGCGUGGGGAGCAACCAGGAUUAGAUGCCCUGGUAGUACACGCCGUAAUCGAUGUCGACUGGUUGUUGGGGGUUAGACACUCUCAGUAACGAAGCUAACGCGUGAAGUCGUCCGCCUGGGGAGUACGGCGGCAACGUUGAAACUCAAAGGAAUUGACGGGGGCCCGCACAAGCGGAGGAGCAUGUGGUUUAAUUCGAUGAUACGCGAGGAACCUUACCUGGGCUUAAAUGUAGGACGACGUUUCGUGAAAGCGGAAUUUCCUUCGGGACGUCUUACAAGGUGCUGCAUGGUUGUCGUCAGCUCGUGCCGUGAGGUGUCGGGUUAAGCCCCAUAACGAGCGCAACCCCUAUCAUUAGUUGCCAUCAGGUCAAGCUGGGAACUCUAAUGAAACUGCCUACGCAAGUAGUGAGGAAGGUGGGGAUGACGUCAAAUCAGCACGGCCCUUAUGUCCAGGGCGACACACGUGCUACAAUGGCCAGUACAGAGGGUUGCAAA
rnacentral:rRNA from 1 species